GCGAUUAUUGAUAUGGAGUGUUCACCUGAAUGGUGAGCAUGAACAGAAGCAUGCUUGUGCCAACAAAGAAGAAAGAAGUUCACCUGGAUGUAGCUCAGCUGGCAAGUCCUGAAUAUGAGUAUCCAUGGAGAGAAUCCAAACAUAGGUGAUGUCAACAGUGAGAAAAGAGGAAGUAAGAUGUGAUUUGAUGACUGACAUAUUCAUCACCUGAUCACUUGAAUGAAGUUCCACUGUUCAAUAUGUUCUAACAGAGCCUCUAAAACCAGACUCCAUCCUCAUUUUUGAAUCAAGACUCACUUCAACACAGUCAUUUGCUCUCUCUUUGAAGUUUUUUCUUUCCUGUGAGCAUCCCCCCUCAAGAUCACAUUCAAAAAAUACUUCUACUUCUC
rnacentral:lncRNA from 12 species